UACGUAGGGUGCAAGCGUUGUCCGGAAUUAUUGGGCGUAAAGAGCUCGUAGGCGGUUUGUCGCGUCGGCUGUGAAAACUCGGGGCUCAACCCCGAGCCUGCAGUCGAUACGGGCAAACUAGAGUGUGGUAGGGGAGACUGGAAUUCCUGGUGUAGCGGUGAAAUGCGCAGAUAUCAGGAGGAACACCUGUGGCGAAAGCGGCUCACUGGACCAUAACUGACGCUGAUGCACGAAAGCUAGGGGAGCAAACAGG
rnacentral:rRNA from 1 species